rnacentral:rRNA from 1 species
AGUGUAGGCGGUUUAGCAAGUCGGAUGUGAAAUCCCAGGGCCCAACCCUGGAACUGCAUCCGAUACUGUUAGGCUAGAGUCCCGGAGAGGAUGGCGGAAUUCCCGGUGUAGGGGUGAAAUCCGUAGAUAUCGGGAGGAACACCAGUGGCGAAGGCGGCCAUCUGGACGGUGACUGACGCUGAGACUCGAAAGCGUGGGUAGCAAACAGGAUUAGAUACCCUGGUAGUC